rnacentral:sRNA from 1 species
GCUGGGCAUGGUGGUGCACACCUGUAAUCCCAGUGGCUUGGGAGGCUGAGGCAGGAGGAUCACAAGUUUAAAGCCAGCCUCAGAAAAAAAAGGAGGAGCUAAAUAACUCAGUGAGACCCUGUCUCUA